UGUAUUCCUCAGCCGACGACGGCAGGAA
rnacentral:sRNA from 1 species